rnacentral:tRNA from 1 species
GCGCCCAUAGCUCAGUUGGUAGAGCAUCACCUUGACGUGGUGAGGGUCAUAGGUUCGAGUCCUGUUGGGCGCACCA